GUGGGGAAUUUUGGACAAUGGGCGCAAGCCUGAUCCAGCAAUGCCGCGUGCAGGAAGAAGGCCUUCGGGUUGUAAACUGCUUUUGUACGGAACGAAACGGUCCUGGUUAAUACCUGGGGCUAAUGACGGUACCGUAAGAAUAAGCACCGGCUAACUACGUGCCAGCAGCCGCGGUAAUACGUAGGGUGCGAGCGUUAAUCGGAAUUACUGGGCGUAAAGCGUGCGCAGGCGGUGCUGUAAGACAGGCGUGAAAUCCCCGGGCUCAACCUGGGAAUUGCGCUGGUGACUGCAGUGCUGGAGUACGGCAGAGGGGGAUGGAAUUCCGCGUGUAGCAGUGAAAUGCGUAGAUAUGCGGAGGAACACCGAUGGCGAAGGCAGUCCCCUGGGCCUGUACUGACGCUCAUGCACGAAAGCGUGGGGAGCAAACAGGAUUAGAAACCCGGGUAGUCC
rnacentral:rRNA from 1 species